rnacentral:rRNA from 1 species
GUCCACGCCCUAAACGAUGUCAACUGGUUGUUGGUGGGGUUAAACCCAUUAGUAACGAAGCUAACGCGUGAAGUUGACCGCCUGGGGAGUACGGCCGCAAGGUUAAAACUCAAAGGAAUUGACGGGGACCCGCACAAGCGGUGGAUGAUGUGGAUUAAUUCGAUGCAACGCGAAGAACCUUACCUACCCUUGACAUGCCAGGGAGCCCGCUGAGAGGUGGGUGUGCCCGAAAGGGAGCCUGGACACAGGUGCUGCAUGGCUGUCGU